AAUUAAUAAGAAAAUCAAAUACAAUAUUAGAACUAAUUAAAAAAUAAAAAUGUAUAUACUUAAUUGUCCAUUUUUGUAUUACUGUUGUAAUUUGUUGCUGCUCAUUAUGACAUUGUUUAAUAUAUUUCUAUUUUUAGAACUGAAAGCCGUUUUUUAUUAUUAAUUAUUAAUAGCUGUCUUCGAUUGUUCAUUACUCUGCUCUCCUGUCAAAAAGUUUACAUGUGAAAGCAACAACAAAGUUAACAAAUUGAUUUGAAACAGGAGAGUAUGCGGAUACCUCAUUAAAGUCGUAUAACUAUUGUGAAUGGUUUCAAUGACAAAUUAAAUUACAAAUUUUAUUUUUUUUUCAUGUAUUUUUAAAACAUAUGACUUAAAAUCAAUUAUAAUUAUUUAUAGAAAACCAAAAUAAAUGGUUACACCAACGUUUUUUAACGCGUAAAAAGAAUUUCUCAACUAUGAGAGAAUCAUAACACACGCGCAUGCGUCAGAAGACAUGUUAGCGUAGAGUCGCACUACAAGUGCUGCCCGUCUGUUUGAGCAUCUGGUAUAGUUUGUACGAUUCGCUGGAGAGUAAUACUUGGCGAAUCGAAGACAGCUAAUAUUUGGUUUACAAACAAGCCAAAAAGUAGGCCAAGCGGUUAUUGGCUUAAACUACUUUCAGGCGUAUUGUAUUGAAAGUAAAAUGAAAAGCUGCAAGGACAUUUUCUUUUCUUUCUAUUAACGGUUUUCAGACUGAGGCCAGAGUUGUAAUUCUUGAAAUGUGCGCUAAAUUUUAAUUCAAAAUGGAAUCUCUUAAAAAAUAAUAUGAGCAUAUAUUUUUAUUGCUGCUUAAUUUAAAAUAACUGUGCGAAAAAGAUUUGAGUAAAAUUAGAUUCAACUGAAGUUUUGAUGGAAAAGCGUGGUAUUACGGUAACAGGUUAGAUGAUUGCAGCAUGAUUUUAAUAAUGGUGAAUGGAAAACAAUUUAAAUGGACUUUAGAAAGAAAACAAUAAUAAUUUAACAUAAAUGAAAAGAUACACGCUCACAAACGGGACAAGUGAAGCAAUCAAUUGCUGGUGAUAGAUGGUAUGGAGGGGUAAAGGAAAUUGAAAAUAGGAAAAAGUAUUAGUGCAACGGAGAAUGAAGUAAAACACAAGCCACAACUUGGAAAGUUACAAGAUGAAAAUUUUCACAAUUCAAACCGCUAAAUUGAGUGGUACAGAGUAAAUUGUAUGCCACUAGAAAUCUCAAAAUCUCAAUAUUUUGCAAUCCUUAUACCGAAAGUUCAACGAACCUGCAACUAAUAACAACGCAACCACAAAAUGUCCACCUGGAAACGCUAAACAAGUACACAAAUAAUUUCACCAAAUGUAAUUUUCGAAAACAAUUUCUGCCAAUUAAAAUUUUGUCGAAUUGUCCGAAGGGCCACACAAAUAAAAGAAAAGA